CCAAGCUUUAUUUGUAAAUUCUCAGGUAUUUCCAUCCUUUUCAUCUCCAUUCUUCAAAUAUUAUUUUGAUGAUUUCUUUCUUCUUGUGAAUAAUGACCUCAACUAAUGGUAGUAUCACAAAUAUGAACAGCUUGAAGCUUGUUUAUUUUGAACUGAAAGAAGAGAUGAAUUUUGUCAUUAUUCAGUCUAUGGUUUCCAUCACCUUAAGAUUACUCAGAUCCCAAAUAUCACAGAAGAAAAUGAGGAGAUGCAUUUAUA
rnacentral:misc_RNA from 1 species